GUGAGAUUACAGGCAUGUGCCACCAUGCUCGGCUAAUUUUGUAUUUUUAGCACAGACAGGGUUUCUCCAUGUUGGUCAGGGUGGUCUCGAACUCCCAACUUCAGGUGACCUCAAGUGACCCGCCAGCCUCAGCCUCCCCAAGUGCUGGGAUUACAGGCAUGAGCCACCAUGCCUGGCUUUUAUACUAUAUUUUAUUUAGCCUCAUAUAUCCAAAGUAUUAUCAUUUCCACAUGCAAUCAAUAUAAACAAUAUUCAUGACAUAUUUCACCUUUUGUCAUACUGUCUUCAAAAUCUGAUGUGUACUGUACACUUAUAGCAUAUCUCAGUUUAGACCAGCCAUGUUUCAGGAGCUCAAAGCCACAUGUGGCCAGUGGAUACUGCAUUGAACAGAGAGCUCCUGCAGCCUGGGGUGGGGAAGACACCAGGUUCCUCUGCAGGAGCACCUGGUGAAGGGAGAGAGAGGGAGAAAGAACCCAUUCCAGAUCACCCUGGGAAGGUGGCGUUGGAAUUGACCCUGCCUAUUCUGGGGAACCUACCUGGCCUGGCUCAGCUCCCUCUUGGGAAGCAGAGAGGAUAUAAAUUGAGCCCAGAAGUAGAGAGGAUAUAAAUUGAGCCCGACAGACCCAAUUCCAGACAUUGUAUGGAAAAGCAUCGUGAAAAUCCCUGGCCUGUUCUGCUCUGUUCUGAUUACCGGUGCGUGCAGCCCGCAGUCACGUACCCGCUGGUUGCUCAAUCGAUCACGACCCUCUCACACGGACCCCCUUAGAGCUGUAAGCCCUUAAAAGGGACAGGAAUUGCUCGCUCGGGGAGCUCGGUUUUUGGAGACGUGAGUCCGCCGGUGCUCCCAGCUGAAUAAAGCCCUUUCCUUCCACAACUCGGUUUCUGAGGGGUUCUUUUCUGC
rnacentral:lncRNA from 1 species